CCUACGGGAGGCAGCAGUGGGGAAUUUUGGACAAUGGGCGCAAGCCUGAUCCAGCAAUGCCGCGUGAGUGAAGAAGGCCUUCGGGUUGUAAAGCUCUUUUGUCAGGGAAGAAACGGUGGGAGCUAAUAUCUCCUACUAAUGACGGUACCUGAAGAAUAAGCACCGGCUAACUACGUGCCAGCAGCCGCGGUAAUACGUAGGGUGCAAGCGUUAAUCGGAAUUACUGGGCGUAAAGCGUGCGCAGGCGGUUUUGUAAGUCUGUCGUGAAAGCCCCGGGCUCAACCUGGGAAUUGCGAUGGAGACUGCAAGGCUUGAAUCUGGCAGAGGGGGGUAGAAUUCCACGUGUAGCAGUGAAAUGCGUAGAGAUGUGGAGGAACACCGAUGGCGAAGGCAGCCCCCUGGGUCAAGAUUGACGCUCAUGCACGAAAGCGUGGGGAGCAAACAGGAUUAGAUACCCUGGUAGUCCACGCCCUAAACGAUGUCUACUAGUUGUCGGGUUACUUUAAUUACGUUAGGUAACCNGAGACGUACGUCGUAGAGUACGACCGCCGGUACGGUACGGUACGGUCGACGAAGUAACGUUAACGUAACGAAGUAAGUAGUACGUCGUGAGAGACGACGACGACGACGACGGAGGGAGGAGG
rnacentral:rRNA from 1 species